rnacentral:tRNA from 1 species
UGCGGGGUAGCGCAGUGGUCAGCGCGCUGGGUUCAUAACCCAGAGGUCGGCGGUUCGAGUCCGUCUCCCGCAU